GAUGAACGCUGGCGGCGUGCCUAAUACAUGCAAGUCGAGCGAACGGACGAGAAGCUUGCUUCUCUGAUGUUAGCGGCGGACGGGUGAGUAACACGUGGAUAACCUACCUAUAAGACUGGGAUAACUUCGGGAAACCGGAGCUAAUACCGGAUAAUAUUUUGAACCGCAUUGUUCAAAAGUGAAAGACGGUCUUGCUGUCACUUAUAGAUGGAUCCGCGCUGCAUUAGCUAGUUGGUAAGGUAACGGCUUACCAAGGCAACGAUGCAUAGCCGACCUGAGAGGGUGGUCGGCCACACUGGAACGGAGACACGGUCCAGACUCCUACGGGAGGCAGCAGUAGGGAAUCUUCCGCAAUGGGCGAAAGCCUGACGGAGCGACGCCGCGUGAGUGAUGAAGGUCUUCGGAUCGUAAAAAUCUCUUAUUGGGGAAGAACAUCUGUGUAAGUAGCUGUGCACAUCUUGACGGUACCUAAUCAGAAAGCCACGGCUAACUACGUG
rnacentral:rRNA from 1 species